UAGGGAAUCUUCGGCAAUGGACGAAAGUCUGACCGAGCAACGCCGCGUGAGUGAAGAAGGUUUUCGGAUCGUAAAACUCUGUUGUUAGAGAAGAACAAGGACGUUAGUAACUGAACGUCCCCUGACGGUAUCUAACCAGAAAGCCACGGCUAACUACGUGGCAGCAGCCGCGGUAAUACGUAGGUGGCAAGCGUUGUCCGGAAUUAUUGGGCGUAAAGCGAGCGCAGGCGGUUUCUUAAGUCUGAUGUGAAAGCCCCCGGCUCAACCGGGGAGGGUCAUUGGAAACUGGGAGACUUGAGUGCAGAAGAGGGGAGUGGAAUUCCAUGUGUAGCGGUGAAAUGCGUAGAUAUAUGGAGGAACACCAGUGGCGAAGGCGGCUCUCUGGUCUGUAACUGACGCUGAGGCUCGAAAGCGUGGGUAGCAAACAGG
rnacentral:rRNA from 1 species